rnacentral:rRNA from 1 species
GAUGAACGCUAGCGGCAGGCUUAAUACAUGCAAGUCGAGGGGUAACAGGUCUGUAGCAAUACAGAUGCUGACGACCGGCAAACGGGUGCGGAACACGUACAGAACCUUCCUUCGAGUGGGAGAUAGCCCAGGGAAACUUGGAGUAAUAUCCCAUAGGAUCAUAGAGUGGCAUCACUUAGUGAUUAAAGAUUUAUCGCUUGAAGAUGGCUGUGCGGCUGAUUAGGUAGUUGGUGUAGGUAACGGCUCACCAAGCCUUCGAUCAGUAACUGGUGUGAGAGAACGACCAGUCAAACGGGCACUGAGACACGGGCCCGACUCCUACGGGAGGCAGCAGUAAGGAAUAUUGGGCAAUGGAGGCAACUCUGACCCAGCCAUGCCGCGUGGAGGAUGAAGGUCCUCUGGAUUGUAAACUUCUUUUAUUUGGGAAGAAAUGCCGAUUUUCUAAUUGGUUUGACGGUACCAGAUGAAUAAGCACCGGCUAACUCCGUGCCAGCAGCCGCCGUAACAC